rnacentral:rRNA from 1 species
UACGUAGGGGUGCAAGCGUUUGUCCGGAAUUAUUGGGCGUAAAGAGCUCGUAGGCGGUCUGUCGCGCUGGUGUGAAAAACUCAGGGGCUUAACCCUGAGCUUGCAUCGGGGUACGGGCAGACUAGAGUGCGGUAGGGGGAGACUGGAAUUCCUGGUGUAGCGGUGAAAUGCGCAGAUAUCAGGAGGAACACCGGUGGCGAAGGCGGGUCUCUGGGCCGUAACUGACGCUGAGGAGCGAAAGCAUGGGGAGCGAACAGG